GAAGCUUUUGCAGAUCUCAAAUAGAAGCAAGUUAGGAUUGAAGAAAUGAAGACCUUGUCAAAAAAAUGAAACUUGGAAACUUGUCACUUCACCACCGGACAACAAGUUGGUUGGAUGUAAAUGGGUCUUGCAAGUUGGGCAUGUGCGACAUCUUUGCACCAACUUGAGUGGGAGUAUUGAUUAGCAUGAUUCAAGGAGAUUUGAUUUAUGAGCGUUGAUUAGCAUAAUUUUACGAAUAGCUGAAUUGAUUAUGUAGAUUUAUUUUAUUUCCUUAAUUAAUAUUAUGAGCUUUGUAUAGAUUUCCCUGCUCAUGGGAUGUAAGCAAACACAAAAAUAUAAGAAGCC
rnacentral:lncRNA from 1 species